UGGAGCUUCUGCAGACAUUAAUGUAUACAAUCCAACUGUAGAACCUUCACAGUUUACAACUGCGCAAAUUUGGAUUAAUGGUGGUCCAAAUGAAACCCCUAAUUAUAUAAUGGCUGGAUGGACGGUUAAUCCAGGCUUAUACGGUGAUCACUUUACUCGGUUAUUUACAUUUUGGACGGGUGAUAAUUAUCGGAAUGGGUGCUUCAAUACUCUUUGCAUAGGUUUUGUA